GUCGAACGGCAGCAUGAUCUAGCUUGCUAGAUUGAUGGCGAGUGGCGAACGGGUGAGUAAUACAUCGGAACGUGCCCUGUAGUGGGGGAUAACUAGUCGAAAGAUUAGCUAAUACCGCAUACGACCUGAGGGUGAAAGUGGGGGACCGCAAGGCCUCAUGCUAUAGGAGCGGCCGAUGUCUGAUUAGCUAGUUGGUGAGGUAAAGGCUCACCAAGGCGACGAUCAGUAGCUGGUCUGAGAGGACGAUCAGCCACACUGGGACUGAGACACGGCCCAGACUCCUACGGGAGGCAGCAGUGGGGAAUUUUGGACAAUGGGGGCAACCCUGAUCCAGCAAUGCCGCGUGUGUGAAGAAGGCCUUCGGGUUGUAAAGCACUUUUGUCCGGAAAGAAAUCGCACUUACUAAUAUUAGGUGUGGAUGACGGUACCGGAAGAAUAAGGACCGGCUAACUACGUGCCAGCAGCCGCGGUAAUACGUAGGGUCCAAGCGUUAAUCGGAAUUACUGGGCGUAAAGCGUGCGCAGGCGGUUGUGCAAGACCGAUGUGAAAUCCCCGGGCUUAACCUGGGAAUUGCAUUGGUGACUGCACGGCUAGAGUGUGUCAGAGGGGGGUAGAAUUCCACGUGUAGCAGUGAAAUGCGUAAGAUGUGGAGGAAUACCGAUGGCGAAGGCAACCUCCUGGGAUAACACUGACGCUCAUGNACGAAAGCNUGGGNNNNAACAGGAUNAGAUACCNUGGUAGUCCACGCCCUAAACGAUGUCAACUAGUUGUUGGGGAUUCAUUUCCUUAGUAACGUAGCUAACGCGUGAAGUUGACCGCCUGGGGAGUACGGUCGCAAGAUUAAAACUCAAAGGAAUUGACGGGGACCCGCACAAGCGGUGGAUGAUGUGGAUUAAUUCGAUGCAACGCGAAAAACCUUACCUACCCUUGACAUGCCACUAACGAAGCAGAGAUGCAUUAGGUGCUCGAAAGAGAAAGUGGACACAGGUGCUGCAUGGCUGUCGUCAGCUCGUGUCGUGAGAUGUUGGGUUAAGUCCCGCAACGAGCGCAACCCUUGUCUCUAGUUGCUACGAAAGGGCACUCUAGAGAGACUGCCGGUGACAAACCGGAGGAAGGUGGGGAUGACGUCAAGUCCUCAUGGCCCUUAUGGGUAGGGCUUCACACGUCAUACAAUGGUGCAUACAGAGGGUUGCCAAGCCGCGAGGUGGAGCUAAUCCCAGAAAAUGCAUCGUAGUCCGGAUCGUAGUCUGCAACUCGACUACGUGAAGCUGGAAUCGCUAGUAAUCGCGGAUCAGCAUGCCGCGGUGAAUACGUUCCCGGGUCUUGUACACACCGCCCGUCACACCAUGGGAGUGGGUUUUGCCAGAAGUAGUUAGCCUAACCGCAAGGGGGGCGAUUACCACGGCAGGGUUCAUGACUGGGGUGAAGUCGUAACAAGGUA
rnacentral:rRNA from 1 species